rnacentral:rRNA from 1 species
UAGAGAAUACCAAGGCGCUUGAGAGAACUCGGGUGAAGGAACUAGGCAAAAUGGUGCCGUAACUUCGGGAGAAGGCACGCUGGUGUGUAGGUGAAGCCCCUGCGGGUGGAGCUGAGACCAGUCGAAGAUACCAGCUGGCUGCAACUGUUUAUUAAAAACACAGCACUGUGCAAACACGAAAGUGGACGUAUACGGUGUGACGCCUGCCCGGUGCCGGAAGGUUAAUUGAUGGGGUUAUCCGUAAGGAGAAGCUCUUGAUCGAAGCCCCGGUAAACGGCGGCCGUAACUAUAACGGUCCUAAGGUAGCGAAAUUCCUUGUCGGGUAAGUUCCGACCUGCACGAAUGGCGUAAUGAUGGCCAGGCUGUCUCCACCCGAGACUCAGUGAAAUUGAACUCGCUGUGAAGAUGCAGUGUACCCGCGGCAAGACGGAAAGACCCCGUGAACCUUUACUAUAGCUUGACACUGAACAUUGAGCCUUGAUGUGUAGGAUAGGUGGGAGGCUUUGAAGCGUGGACGCCAGUCUGCGUGGAGCCAACCUUGAAAUACCACCCUUUAAUGUUUGAUGUUCUAACGUUGGCCCCUUACCGGGGUUGCGGACAGUGUCUGGUGGGUAGUUUGACUGGGGCGGUCUCCUCCCAAAGCGUAACGGAGGAGCACGAAGGUUAGCUAAUCCUGGUCGGACAUCAGGAGGUUAGUGCAAUGGCAUAAGCUAGCUUGACUGCGAGCGUGACGGCGCGAGCAGGUGCGAAAGCAGGUCAUAGUGAUCCGGUGGUUCUGAAUGGAAGGGCCAUCGCUCAACGGAUAAAAGGUACUCCGGGGAUAACAGGCUGAUACCGCCCAAGAGUUCAUAUCGACGGCGGUGUUUGGCACCUCGAUGUCGGCUCAUCACAUCCUGGGGCUGAAGUAGGUCCCAAGGGUAUGGCUGUUCGCCAUUUAAAGUGGUACGCGAGCUGGGUUUAGAACGUCGUGAGACAGUUCGGUCCCUAUCUGCCGUGGGCGCUGGAGAAUUGAGGGGGGCUGCUCCUAGUACGAGAGGACCGGAGUGGACGCAUCACUGGUGUUCGGGUUGUCAUGCCAAUGGCACUGCCCGGUAGCUAAAUGCGGAAGAGAUAAGUGCUGAAAGCAUCUAAGCACGAAACNGACGCCUGCCCGGUGCCGGAAGGUUAAUUGAUGGGGUUAUCCGUAAGGAGAAGCUCUUGAUCGAAGCCCCGGUAAACGGCGGCCGUAACUAUAACGGUCCUAAGGUAGCGAAAUUCCUUGUCGGGUAAGUUCCGACCUGCACGAAUGGCGUAAUGAUGGCCAGGCUGUCUCCACCCGAGACUCAGUGAAAUUGAACUCGCUGUGAAGAUGCAGUGUACCCGCGGCAAGACGGAAAGACCCCGUGAACCUUUACUAUAGCUUGACACUGAACAUUGAGCCUUGAUGUGUAGGAUAGGUGGGAGGCUUUGAAGCGUGGACGCCAGUCUGCGUGGAGCCAACCUUGAAAUACCACCCUUUAAUGUUUGAUGUUCUAACGUUGGCCCCUUAUCGGGGUUGCGGACAGUGUCUGGUGGGUAGUUUGACUGGGGCGGUCUCCUCCCAAAGCGUAACGGAGGAGCACGAAGGUUAGCUAAUCCUGGUCGGACAUCAGGAGGUUAGUGCAAUGGCAUAAGCUAGCUUGACUGCGAGCGUGACGGCGCGAGCAGGUGCGAAAGCAGGUCAUAGUGAUCCGGUGGUUCUGAAUGGAAGGGCCAUCGCUCAACGGAUAAAAGGUACUCCGGGGAUAACAGGCUGAUACCGCCCAAGAGUUCAUAUCGACGGCGGUGUUUGGCACCUCGAUGUCGGCUCAUCACAUCCUGGGGCUGAAGUAGGUCCCAAGGGUAUGGCUGUUCGCCAUUUAAAGUGGUACGCGAGCUGGGUUUAGAACGUCGUGAGACAGUUCGGUCCCUAUCUGCCGUGGGCGCUGGAGAAUUGAGGGGGGCUGCUCCUAGUACGAGAGGACCGGAGUGGACGCAUCACUGGUGUUCGGGUUGUCAUGCCAAUGGCACUGCCCGGUAGCUAAAUGCGGAAGAGAUAAGUGCUGAAAGCAUCUAAGCACGAAACUUGCCCCGAGAUGAGUUCUCCCUGAGACUAUAAGUCUCCUGAAGGAACGUUGAAGACGACGACGUUGAUAGGCCGGGUGUGUAAGCGCAGCGAUGCGUUGAGCUAACCGGUACUAAUGAACCGUGAGGCUUAACCUU